GGCCAGACUCUUACGGGAGGCAGCAGUGGGGGAUAUUGCACAAUGGGGGGAACCCUGAUGCAGCGACGCCGCGUGGGCGAUGGAGUGCUUCGGCAUGUAAAGCCCUAUCAGCAGGGAAGAAAAUGACGGUACCUGACUAAGAAGCCCCGGCUAAAUACGUGCCAGCAGCCGCGGUAAUACGUAUGGGGCAAGCGUUAUCCGGAUUUAUUGGGUUUAGAGGGUGCGCAGGCGGGCUGUUAAGCCGGCGGUAAAAAUUCAGGGCUCAACCCUGUCGAGCCGUCGGAACUGGCAGUCUUGAGUGGGCGAGAAGUAUGCGGAAUGCGUGGUGUAGCGGUGAAAUGCAUAGAUAUCACGCAGAACGCCGAUUGCGAAGGCAGCAUACCGGCGCCCAACUGACGCUGAGGCACGAAAGCGUGGGGAUCGAACAGGAUUAGAUACCCGGGUA
rnacentral:rRNA from 1 species